rnacentral:piRNA from 1 species
CNGUGCAGAAUCUCACUGGAGUAACGAAC